UACAACGAGUGCCAGCGUGUGACUCAUAUGCCCGCACAUUCGGGACAUAAGUUGUAGGUAAGUUAUGUGAUUGUUGGCGCACGUGUCAUAGGUCUACAUACAUCCAUUAAUUCUGGCCACUGAUUGGUUGAAACCUGUAGUCCUCAUGUGGGCAGACUGUUUCGUUCACACACGGAGUAAAUCUGACCUGUUCAUUUCAGUCCAAUUCACCAUCACAGAUGGACAUGAACCCACAUAAAGCUUCUGAUGUUUGAAAAUGACAUCUGGAAAUACUUUAAUUCAUGGCUGGAAACGCAGCGUUUUAAAGCACGUCCCUCUGUGGUUUUUCUGCUCCAGGUGCAUUUCUCAGCUGGUGUCAUGCACUCUGAUCACACAGAAGCACUGUGAUGAUUUAAACUUUUAAAGCGUCAUCAUUGUCGAUGUGAUCAUCAAACGACCUGAUCGAUCGAUCAGGGUGAUCACACCUGACUAAUGCACUGUAACUCUAAAGUGUCAUCGCUAUGGUGUGAUCAUCAGACAACCUGAUCGAUCAGAGUGAUCACACCUCAUUAAUGCGUUGUUUAAACAUUUAAAGCGCCGAUCAUCACAUCGACAGAUCAGCACUUCAUUCAGAUCACACCUGAUUGCAGUCGACUGGUGCUUUAAAAGUUUCAAUCAUCACAGCGUUUCAUUAUUCAGGUUUAAAGAGUCACAGCCCCAUUCAUUCACAGCAGUGAUUACCACAGCCAGUUGACUCAUCAGCAUUCUGUACACAAUGAAAAUGGUCCACCAAGAUAAAAAAUGAAAAAAAAAAAAAAAAAAGUUAAAUUGCUCUGUUUCCGACCGGCACCACAUCGUGCACUACUGACCCGAACCACUUGGUGGAAACGGGGCUGUCGACAUCCGCUGGUUAAUCGUCAAGGUGUGACAGCUGCAUGAAUUUAUUAGAAGUACACCAACGUGUGCCAGUGUUUUAAUACAGAUCAUCAAGGUGUGACAGGGCCUUAAAACAGGAUGAAACAGCUUAAUCCGGCUUGCCUCCUCCCAGGCUGGUUUAUAAAGUGCAGAUCUGGCAACCCGCCUCAAAACGAAAGUAAACCGCGCCCUGAGCCGGAGGUCCAGAUGCUUUCCAUGCGCGUUUUACUAUUUGUAAACGCUUGACAAAUAUUGAGUUGGUGUUUUCUUUUAAUGAUGACUGGAGCAGUGCACUUUAAUGUUUUUGAUGAUUGAAUGAAACGUUGUGUUGUUUAGUGUA